rnacentral:rRNA from 1 species
AUGAAAAUACUUAGUUGGAACUGUCGGGGUUUGGGUCAACCUCGUACAGUUCAGGAGCUAGUGUGUCUCUCUAAGACGCACCAACCCAAUGUUAUCUUUCCCUCUGAGACAAGGAAAAAUAAAGAUUAUGUCGAGCGUUUGCGUUAUCGAUUGGGUAUGAGUAAUGUUUUUACUUAUUCUUCUCCAGGGAAAGGUGGUGGUCUUGUGGUGUUCUGGGAUGAUUCUUAUACUAUACAGUUGAACAAAUAUGGGGAGCAUUAG